rnacentral:lncRNA from 1 species
CGAACUCGGAAUGGGGCGAGACUUUGCGAGGGGCCUCGGGGUGCCCGCGGGAAGUUGCGGGCACAGCCGCGCCCAAAAAUAAGCGCCCGAAGGUCGUGGUGCCAAAACCCCCCAGCGGAAAAAUGGCGAAAAAACGGGUGGGCUAUAGCCUUGGUGGGGGGCGCGGGCGAAGUUCGUCUGCAGGACUCGGAAUGGGGCGAGACUUUGCGAGGGGCCUCGGGGUGCCAAAAAUAAGCCGCGGGCAAGGCCGCGCCCAAAAAUAAGCGCCCGAAGGUCGUGGUGCCAAAACCCCCCAGCGGAAAAAUGGCCAAAAAACGGGUGGGCUAUAGCCUUGGUGGGGGGCGCGGGCGAAGUUCGUCCGCCGGACUCGGAAUGGGGCGAGACUUUGCGAGGGGCCUCGGGGUGCCCGCGGGAAGUUGCGGGCACAGCCGCGCCCAAAAAUAAGCGCCCGAAGGUCGUGGUGCCAAAACCCCCCAGCGGAAAAAUGGCGAAAAAACGGGUGGGCUAUAGCCUUGGUGGGGGGCGCGGGCGAAGUUCGUCUGCAGGACUCGGAAUGGGGCGAGACUUUGCGAGGGGCCUCGGGGUGCCAAAAAUAACCGCGGGCAAGGCCGCGCCCAAAAAUAAGCGCCCGAAGGUCGUGGUGCCAAAACCCCCCAGCGGAAAAAUGGCCAAAAAACGGGUGGGCUAUAGCCUUGGUGGGGGGCGCGGGGGAAGUUCGUCCGCCGGACUCGGAAUGGGGCGAGACUUUGCGAGGGGCCUCGGGGUGCCAAAAUUAAGCCGCGGGCAAGGCCGCGCCCAAAAAUAAGCGCCCGAAGGUCGUGGUGCCAAAACCCCCCAGCGGAAAAAUGGC